GCAUGUGCUAUAGGAGCAGGCAGGACGGCCUGGGGGAAGAGGUGGGGUGUUUGCAUGGUGAUGUGGUGAGCCUCAGCGUAAGCAGUAUGCAGAGGAUGUGGGGCUAUAGCCGCCUGGCAGGCACCAAAGGAGAGCUGGAGCAACACCAUGAAUGAGAAUUUAAUUACACACUUCUUGUGUUUCCUGAGACUGGUAUAUGCUGGCAAGGAGUAUUUUCUGAAGGAAAUGAGAAGCUGAUAACUGGUGAGAUAUAGCUGUAAAAAUCUGCAUGUAAUGAGUCCUGUACUGAAUGAACUGCUCCAUUAAUAGAAAUUGUCUGAACCUACAUUUUUGAAAUUUGUGUGUCUUGAGCAUUUGCUCAGCAAUAAUUUGUCACUCGAGGAACACAGCACAGAGUAAGUGUGGUCAGACUGUGACCACCUUCUCCUCCUGCUGAUUAAUAGAAGAUGAGCCUGGCAGGAGGUGAUCAAGAGUAGUCAGUCCAGGUAUUCAGGAGGACAUUAGGAGU
rnacentral:lncRNA from 1 species